rnacentral:misc_RNA from 1 species
GGAAUGCCAUGCGAAAAUUGUGAGUUUUUUCCAUUGUGGGUUUUGGUUAGAAGUGCUUUUGAUAAAGGAACGUGAGGUUACGGUUGGAAGGAGGUGGACAAAGGGAGAAACGAGAAGAUGAGAGAAGGGGAAGGUGUCUUUACUUACUGGGUGAAGCUAGAGAUGGAGGUGGGGAGGAUGUUGAUGACAAGGAGAGGAUGAGAGAAAGAGGAAGAUGGGGCAAGUGAGGGGCAACGAGAAAAAUUUUUUUUUUCUUUUUUAUAAAAUGUCUGCCAUGUCAAUAAGUUAAUUGAGAAAUUGAUUAUCUCAUGUAACAAAGGGCUUUAUUAUUAUUCAAAUCGAUUUUCAAAGAUUUUACGUUACAAAUUAAAAUUUAAGACAACGUUGUUACAAUGCACAGACAUUCAUGAAUGAUAGGUGAAAUUUACUCUAUUUUGCUCAACCAACUGACUUUGAUAUUUACAAAGGUCAGAAUGUUAAUCACCUCAAAAAAGCAGUUACAAAAGCUAUUAUCAUUUAAAUGUGAAUGCAAAACAUAAGGGCAGAUUUCACCUAAGUAAGCAGCGGCUUUGUCUCUUCAAUAACAGCAGCGACGCGCUCAGCCAAUAAAUAGCUUUUAGCAACACCAAUUUCCUCCAUUUCAUGUCCGAGACGGGUGAAUAUCCCAACCAAUGCGUCCAAACUUACCCCUUGAUAUCCCUUUAUCUUUUGCCUAUCACAAACAAUUAGACCUUCUUUAACGCAUUCAGCAUCAAGAGGUCCUACAGAAGGUAAUGGAAUCGGAUCUUUAGGUGCAAUAUCAAUCAAUGUUUCCAUGAGAAGACCUGACUGAUUCACCUCA